rnacentral:lncRNA from 1 species
CCUCUUUUAUUUUUUAUGGGAUUCUCUUGCGUCUUUUAUUUUUUGUAAAGUCCGGAGACUCAUCUUAACUUGUGAAGGAAUCAUAGCUCCCAUCAUCCUUUUCUCACAUGGGACAAUGCUCUAAUAAUGCAAAUCAUCAUACUUUUAUUUACUUACAACUCGAUAUCUAGAACAAAGUAUGACUCUAUAAGAAAUAUGGAAAUGAUGGUGCGUGUCAUAAAAACGGGAUGGAGGUGUUGCAUGGCAAUAUAUCUCGGAAUGGCUAUGAAAAUGCCAUAAUAGGUAGUUAUGGUGGCUGUUUUGAGGAAAAUAUAUGGUG